rnacentral:rRNA from 1 species
AGUCUGCAACCCGACUACGCGAAGCUGGAAUCGCUAGUAAUCGCGAAUCAGAAUGUCGCGGUGAAUACGUUCCCGGGCCUUGUACACACUGCCCGUCACACCAUGAGAGUCGAUAACACCCGAAGCCUGUAGUCUAACAGCAAUGAGGACGCAGUCGAAGGUGGGAUUGAUAAUUAGGGUGAAGUCGUAACAAGGUAUC